rnacentral:rRNA from 1 species
UACGUAGGGUGCAAGCGUUGUCCGGAAUUAUUGGGCGUAAAGAGCUCGUAGGCGGUUUGUCGCGUCUGCUGUGAAAACUCGGGGCUUAACUCCGGGCCUGCAGUGGGUACGGGCAGACUAGAGUGCGGUAGGGGAGACUGGAAUUCCUGGUGUAGCGGUGAAAUGCGCAGAUAUCAGGAGGAACACCGAUGGCGAAGGCAGGUCUCUGGGCUGACACUGACGCUCAUGCACGAAAGCGUGGGGAGCAAACAGG